AGCGGCGGACGGGUGAGUAACGCGUGGGUAACCUGCCCUGUACACACGGAUAACAUACCGAAAGGUAUGCUAAUACGGGAUAACAUAAGAAAGUCGCAUGGAUUUCUUAUCAAAGCUUUUGCGGUACAGGAUGGACCCGCGUCUGAUUAGCUAGUUGGUAAGGUAACGGCUUACCAAGGCGACGAUCAGUAGCCGACCUGAGAGGGUGAUCGGCCACAUUGGAACUGAGACACGGUCCAAACUCCUACGGGAGGCAGCAGUGGGGAAUAUUGCACAAUGGGCGAAAGCCUGAUGCAGCAACGCCGCGUGAGCGAUGAAGGCCUUCGGGUCGUAAAGCUCUGUCCUCAAGGAAGAUAAUGACGGUACUUGAGGAGGAAGCCCCGGCUAACUACGUGCCAGCAGCCGCGGUAAUACGUAGGGGGCUAGCGUUAUCCGGAAUUACUGGGCGUAAAGGGUGCGUAGGCGGUCUUUCAAGUCAGAAGUGAAAGGCUACGGCUCAACCGUAGUAAGCUUUUGAAACUGUAAGACUUGAGUGCAGGAGAGGAGAGUGGAAUUCCUAGUGUAGCGGUGAAAUGCGUAGAUAUUAGGAGGAACACCAGUUGCGAAGGCGGCUCUCUGGACUGUAACUGACGCUGA
rnacentral:rRNA from 1 species